rnacentral:other from 2 species
GCGGAGCUGCCCGGUUCGUCAGGCAAUUUCAUCCCCUGGGCCGAUAAGCACUUCCUCGGGAGCUGGCGCUGCUGUGAUCGUGGUCAUGGUAUCCGGCGCCCACCUGCACUAGCAGGUCCUGGAGGUUGUAUAGACCAACGGCCAUGGUGGCUCCGCA